rnacentral:rRNA from 1 species
GUGGGGAAUCUUGCACAAUGGGCGAAAGCCUGAUGCAGCGACGCCGCGUGCGGGACGAAGGCCUUCGGGUCGUAAACCGCUUUCAGCAGGGACGAGGCCGCGAGGUGACGGUACCUGCAGAAGAAGCCCCGGCUAACUACGUGCCAGCAGCCGCGGUAAUACGUAGGGGGCGAGCGUUAUCCGGAUUCAUUGGGCGUAAAGCGCGCGCAGGCGGCCUGCUCGGUCGGGAGUCAAAUCCGGGGGCUCAACCCCCGCCCGCUCCCGAUACCGGCGGGCUUGAGUCUGGUAGGGGAAGGCGGAAUUCCCAGUGUAGCGGUGGAAUGCGCAGAUAUUGGGAAGAACACCGGUGGCGAAGGCGGCCUUCUGGGCCACGACUGACGCUGAGGCGCGAAAGCUAGGGGAGCGAACAGGAUUAGAAACCCGAGUAGUCC